GUGCUCACUUCAGCAGCAUAUAUACUAAAAUUGGAAAGAUACAGAGAAGAUUAGCAUGGCCCCUGAUUUAAAAAAAAAUCUAGUUUCGUUACUUUACACAUGCUU